AUUGAACGCUGGCGGAAUGCUUUACACAUGCAAGUCGAACGGUAGAGGGGGCAACCCCUUGAGAGUGGCGAACGGGUGAGUAAUAUAUCGGAACGUGCCCAGUCGUGGGGGAUAACGUAGCGAAAGUUACGCUAAUACCGCAUACGAUCUAAGGAUGAAAGCGGGGGACUCGCAAGAGCCUCGCGCGAUUGGAGCGGCCGAUAUCAGAUUAGGUAGUUGGUGGGGUAAAGGCUCACCAAGCCAACGAUCUGUAGCUGGUCUGAGAGGACGACCAGCCACACUGGAACUGAGACACGGUCCAGACUCCUACGGGAGGCAGCAGUAGGGAAUAUUGGGCAAUGGGCGGAAGCCUGACCCAGCCAUGCCGCGUGCAGGAUGAAGGCGUUAUGCGUUGUAAACUGCUUUUUAUUAGGAAGAAGGAGGCCUUGCGAGGCUUGGUGACGGUACUAUAAGAAUAAAGCACCGGCUAAACUCCGUG
rnacentral:rRNA from 1 species